CCCAGACUCCUACGGGAGGCAGCAGUGGGGGAUAUUGCACAAUGGGGGAAACCCUGAUGCAGCGACGCCGCGUGAGUGAAGAAGUAUUUCGGUAUGUAAAGCUCUAUCAGCAGGGAAGAAAAAAGACGGUACCUGACUAAGAAGCCCCGGCUAACUACGUGCCAGCAGCCGCGGUAAUACGUAGGGGGCAAGCGUUAUCCGGAUUUACUGGGUGUAAAGGGAGCGUAGACGGCAAUACAAGUCGGAAGUGAAAUACCCGGGCUCAACCUGGGAACUGCUUUGGAAACUGUAUGGCUGGAGUGCUGGAGAGGUAAGCGGAAUUCCUAGUGUAGCGGUGAAAUGCGUAGAUAUUAGGAGGAACACCAGUGGCGAAGGCGGCUUACUGGACAGUAACUGACGUUGAGGCUCGAAAGCGUGGGGAGCAAACAGGAUUAGAUACCCUAGUAGA
rnacentral:rRNA from 1 species